UAGAAAAUUUGUUAAUUAUCUCUCCCUCUCAUGUCAAAGGCUUUCCCUUAUCUGGUCUCUCUCUCUCUCGUCCGAUAAAGGACGAAGAUUAAGCCGUCGAGAGCCAUCGAUUUCUUCUUCUCCCAAAAGCCUUGAGUGCCGGACCUUCCUUUGUCUCAUUUCUCCUCCCAAGCACCGCCGCGAUGACGUUGACCGAGACGGAGGACGCCGUCGCACGGCCAUCACCGAUUACCAAGAGCUCGAGUCCUGAGUUUGCGAAGGUCAGAUUCGUACUCCAAAUCUUCCUUGUUCAUGUUCGAUUCUGCAACCGGAGAGCGUUUCUCUCUCCAUCGGCGAACCAGUUCACAAGCAAUUCGAAAGUCCAGAGAUGUGUAGGCUUGCAUUGGACUACUCAACUAAGCCGCGUGUCUUGGAAAGGGGUACGGUGAAUCCUUCAUUUCAGAUCUGGGUCUGCUUUAGAACUGGGAUGAUAGGAAGAAAACCAAAAAAAGUUGCUGUUUCUUUUGUGCCUGAUGGGGAAUACUGGAGCUUGAGUUGGUUUUCCUUUGUUCUUCAAUGAUAUCUGUUAUGGCGAUGUAUAUGACUGAGGUGGAAGAAUCAAAUUGGAUGAGCAGAAAGAUGGAAAUGCAGCAAUACUGUGCACAUGAAUGGAAGUCCAUCUUAGGUGCAAUAGCCGAUUCCGAAAAUUCUAAAGGCGGCUUUGACUGCAACAUCUGCUCAGACUUUGCACACGAGCCAGUGGUCACCCUCUGUGGCCAUCUGUGCUGCUGGCCUUGCAUCUACAAAUGGCUUCACGUCCAGAGCGCCUCCCUUGCAUCUGAUGAGUGCCUCAGUGCCCUGUUUGCAAGAAACAAGAUUUAUUUGAGGUGGAAUGUGGCAAUGUGCAGUGAAUGUUUUGAGGCAAUCCACCCCAGUGGCUUUACACUACCACUGUUCAUUUUAUUUGUAUUGGUUUUGCUAUAAGGUUCAUUUGUGAUUGCUUCCACAGCAUUUGUUUGUAUACUGCUUAACUUUUUAUACAAGUGAAGGUUCUCUUGUGAAAUUGCAACAAGCAAAGAAUUAGACAUAUUUGUUA